rnacentral:rRNA from 1 species
UACGUAGGGUGCAAGCGUUGUCCGGAAUUAUUGGGCGUAAAGAGCUCGUAGGCGGUCUGUCGCGUCGGCUGUGAAAACUCGGGGCUCAACUCCGAGCUUGCAGUCGAUACGGGCAGGCUAGAGUUCGGCAGGGGAGACUGGAAUUCCUGGUGUAGCGGUGGAAUGCGCAGAUAUCAGGAGGAACACCAAUAGCGAAGGCAGCUCGCUGGGACGUUACUGACACUGAGGCGCGAAAGCGUGGGGAGCGAACAGG